UUUGCCUCCCGAUCAUUAAUCCAGAGUUACACCAGCUUAAUUUGGUUGGAUAUAUAAUAAAUCAUAAAGAUGAUCAUAAGACAUAUGCAUUAAAAACGGUAUUAUACUAUACUUGAAAUUUUAUGGUGAAAUAUAUUUUUUAAUAGCGAGGAAGCUUUUGGCCUUUUGGGAGAGUGGGUCGUGUAGUAACAUGAGGAGGCC
rnacentral:lncRNA from 1 species